rnacentral:rRNA from 1 species
GACGAACGCUGGCGGCGUGCUUAACACAUGCAAGUCGAACGAAGUGGCGAACGGGUGAGUAAGAGGUGGGUAACCUGCCCUACUUUUUGGGAUAAGCCUUGGAAACGGGGUCUAAUAACGACUAAAGGGGGAGGGGCGCGUGGCCUAUCAGCUUGUUGGGGGGGUGAUGGCUUACGAAGGCGGUGACGGGUAGCCGGCCUGAGAGGGUGAACGGCCACAUGGGGACGGCGCUACGGCCCAGACUCCGACGUGAGGGGGCAGUGGGGGAUAUUGAACAAUGGGUGAAAGCCUGAUGCAGCGACGCUGCGUGGGGGAUGAAGGCUUUCGGGUUGUAAACCUCUUUCGCUAUCGAAAGGGUAGGUGGAGAAGAAGCGCCGGCUAACUACGUGCCAGCAGCCGCGGUAAUUC